CCAUCCUUUUACUGUUUCAUCUUCUUAUAAUCUCUUGAGGACAGCAACAUUCACCCAAUUAUGUGUUUCCGUGAUGCACAGCACAACAGAGUUUUGAUACUUGCUGAGGUCACCAUGAAUUAAAUGACUUCAGCAGUGCACUGGAGAACUCAAACUGCUGAAGAGAUGUCCUCCAAACACCACUCCAGCCCACGGGCCAGGUACCCUACAACUAGUGAGUGCUGCAUGAAUGCCAGGAGGUCUUGUUGAAGGCCACAAGAAGCCAUUGCACCCUUUACCCUCUGCCUGCACAUUUUCACCUGUCUUCACAAUGUUCUUGAGUACUGCUUAUCUGUAUGAUGGAUGUUCUUUAUCAGAAUGCCCUCCUCACAAGGACACAAAACCAACACUUUUUUUAUGCUUGGUGGAUCCUUAUUUGCAUUUUGAAGUCAGAAAUUUGACAUGAUAUUAUCCAUACAGCAAGAUGACAGGCCAGUCAAAUUGAGGUGUUACAAGCAGGGACACCAGUACCUCCUUCAGCAAAGAAACACAGAUAAAUUGGCAAAACCAGCAGUAGAGUCUUUUCUCCUGAUAUCUGCCAUUAAAGCCCAAUCUCUUGAGGUAGGCCUGACAUGGAACUGUCACAACCUUUACACAAGGAAAAACUCAACUGCUGAGCUUCCAUGACACAAAAAUCAAGAUGGGUGUGAUGGUCCUUAGUUUUCUGCCAGUGAUUUGUGACUCUUCCUUAGACCAAGACUGAAGUGGCCACACAGUGUAACAGGCAGUUGUUUUUCCUUUUCAGAAACUGUUCUGCUGUGACACUGAAAAGCAGUGCAGAUGUGGGUUUCACUGAGCAUCCACGAGAAAGCCUCAGCUCAGAAUAAACCUCUUUGCAGAGAAGAUACUUCUCAAGCCCUCUUUGGAGAUCAGGCUCCUAAGAUCAAGACUCCUAAGAUUCAAGCCAUCACAGCAGCCAGUAGGAAAUGAAGCCCAGUUAAAAGGGAAAGGCUUUUACAGCUCUGCAGGACUGCACGGCUUGGACACAAGGGUACAUGCUGCCAUGGCAAAAGGAUCCUUGUUUGGUUCACAGCUAUUGGAGACAGAAAAAAUAAGGAAGCACAAGCACAAGGCAGAGUUCAAGCUCCAUCCAAGAUGACAGGAGACUGUUGCUGGAGACUUAGAAGGACAUAAACCCUCCUGCUGGAACAGCUUCAUGACCAGGGAAAAAUAACCCAAGAAACUAAAGAGGGAACCUCUUGCAACUUUAACGCUUUACAAAGGAUGUCUGAAAACAGUAGCCAAAUACUGUUGCCUGAGUGCAUUUCUUAAAGAGAUAAAGCAAAUCAAAAGGUUUAAGACAUGGUUAUAUGUUUUACUACAUUUAGCCCAAAGAUACAAAGGACCUCUAGAAUGAUCAUAACAUCUAGAUCAGACUUAAUCACUAAUACAUGCCCAUAACUUUGGAAACAUCAACCAGCAAUUAACUUGUGCAAGUUACUCUGUUUACAAAACACCUAUGUAUUAAAAUGAAAGCCUGUGUGACAAGUUAAUAAAACUACUUACUUCCA